UUGUAUUUUUGUUAGUUUUGUCCCUUUUAGCCAGUUGCCCCCAGAUUACCUGACAAGUAAUAAAUGAAUGAUUGAUGGUAUUGAUUGAUUGGUUGGUUGAUGUUUUAUUGAUGAUUGUAUCUUGAACACUUCAUUGACAGUUUGGUCUUUUAAUAGGUCAUAACAGGUUAGGAAUUCUCUGGCAAAAAUGAAAACUAUAAAAAGAUAUGAGUAAACCUGCCCUUAGUCUUACUCCCCGAGUUUCCCACUUCCUGUUCAGUCUUAUCCCAAACCCCAAGUACUCUACCCGUACUUUCUUUGUAUAUAUAUAUAUAUAUAUGUAAAUAAAAGCAUGAUUGUUUAAUACAAUUUUUAUUUAAGUCAGACAUUGUAUGUUACCAAAGGUAAAUGUACAAUGUUGUUGUAGUAUGUUAUCAUCAUUAGGAUAUCAGAGACCUUCAUAUGUACAGUAAUCAUAGAAAUAGGGUAUUAAUUUUGUACAGUAUUUUGGUGGGAAUUCAGGAUUUUACUAUACCCAAGGUAAAACUUGUAAAUAUCACAUGACAUCAUCAUUGAACUCAACACACCUGACUUUAUCAGUAACACACACCUUCAAAUUUGAUAUGGAUCAGAUUUUGAAAACAAAACACAGAAGAAAUUUGGUACCGAUCAUCAACCUUGUCAGUCAACAUUUUUUGGAGUUGUUUCCCUUUUAAUGACCUUUUUUUUAACCAUAUUUUGGACAUAUACUAUUUAUAGAUAGAAAAAACUAUGAAUUAUAAAUAGAUAGAAAAAACUAGAUUAUAGAGAGAGAAAAAUUUAAAAACUAUAUUAUAGAGAGAGAAAAAUUUAAAAACUAUAUUAUAGAGAGAGAAAAAUUUAAAAACUAUAUUAUAGAGAGAUAGAAUAAAAACUAUAUUAUAGAGAGAGAAAAAUUUGAAAAGAAUUUAAAAAAAUUAUCAGCAAGACAAGAUCUGUUUUGUGGGAUAAAACCAACUAUAUAGAAGAUGUAGAGACGAAUGUACAACUGAAACGAAUCAGUAAAUCACUGAGAUCAGAAAAGUUUCAAAUUCCCAAGGUCUUAGAAAUAAGAUUUAGAAAGGUCAGAUGCUUAUGGUUGCCAUCUUACAAUAUCUUUUUCUUUUUGAUAAACAUGACUUGUUUUAAUUUGGAUUUUUUCUAAACUUUUUUGUAAAAUGUAAAAUAAAAUAACACCUUUCCUGGAAACCUGGUAAAUGAAACUUCUUGUUUAAUCAUCCCUCCAUGUCUGGUACAUCAAUAUAAAACCAUUUUAUUCACAAAGUAUCAAGAACUAACCUGGGUGGGAUAACUAACAUGAUACUUCCUAAAUAGGUUGUCUGGAAGAUGUGUGAAUGAAUGAAUGAAUGAAUGAACGAGAUAAUAUAGAGCAGAGAGACAGAUAUCUUAAGGGUAUUGUGUACUGUUCUGUGGAGGGACGUUAUUUAGGAAUGUUUAUAAUUCUAGUAAUUUUCAGAACAGUUUGGUAUUUCUGAGCUACGAAAAAUUUACUAUUUAAAGAAAAAUUGGUUAAUGUCAAUUAAAUUUAGAGUCAGAUUAAAUGUAUAACUGUUCCAAUAGAUUUUAAAGUCAAUAUUAAUGAAUUUAUUCAAUUUUUGUUUUGUCUUUGGCUUUCAUAAUUUUUUUUUUUUUUUUAAUUUUUAUAACUUUUUUCUUCAGACCAGUUGUUUAUAAAAAUUUUACAACAUUCAAAUUUUUUUUUAUUUUAGUAUAGAUGCUGUAUUAUGAACAUCGUUCUGAAGGGCAUGACUCUGACCUUGAC
rnacentral:lncRNA from 1 species